rnacentral:lncRNA from 1 species
AUAAAGUUUAAUCCCUUUGUAACUUCUGACUGAAGCAAGAACCACAAAAGGUGUUUCAAUGCACCUUCCCACAUUCAUAGGAAGAUUAUGUCCUCCCCUCUUUCCUAAGAGCUAAGACAGAAGUACAACGUUCAUUCCAUGCCCAUGCAAAAGGAUGAUAAAUUUCAGAUUGUGCGAGGACACUAUAAAGGUCAGCAAACUGGCAAUUUAGUCGAAGUUUGAAAUAUAUCAUCAACACUGAACAGGUGCCAUGGGAAAAGGCUAAUGGCACAACUGUCCACGUAGGCAUUCACGCCAGCAUAGUGGUUAUCACUAGGUUAAAACUGGACAAAGACCGCAAAAAGAUCCUUGAACAAAAAGUCAAAUCUCACCAAGUAAGAAAGGAAAAGGCCAAAAUACAAGGAAGAAACAAUUGAGAAGAUGCAGG